rnacentral:rRNA from 1 species
GUCAUACGAGAGUUUUUAACUCAAGUGGCGGACGGGUGAGUAACACGUAAGAAUUUACCUUUAGGAGGGGGAUAACAACGAGAAAUUGUUGCUAAUACCCCAUAUGCUUUCGAGUGAAAUGGAUUUUUCCGCCUAGAGAGAAGCUUGCGCCUGAUUAGCUUGUUGGUAAGGUAAUGGCUUACCAAGGCGACGAUCAGUAUCUGGUUUGAGAGGAUGAUCAGACACACUGGAACUGAGACACGGUCCAGACUCCUACGGGAGGCAGCAGUGGGGAAUUUUCCGCAAUGGGCGAAAGCCUGACGGAGCAAUCUCGCGUGAGGGAUGACGGCCUAUGGGUUGUAAACCUCUUUUUUCAGGGAGGAAUAAAAUGACGUGUACCUGAAGAAUAAGCAUCGGCUAACUCCGUGCCAGCAGCCGCGGUAAGACGGAGGAUGCAAGUGUUAUCCGGAAUCACUGGGCGUAAAGCGUCUGUAGGUGGUUUAGUAAGUCAACUGUUAAAUCUUGGAGCUUAACUUCAAAAUCGCAGUCGAAACUGCUAGACUAGAGUAUAGUAGGGGUAAAGGGAAUUUCCAGUGGAGCGGUGAAAUGCGUAGAGAUUGGAAAGAACACCGAUGGCGAAGGCACUUUACUGGGCUAUUACUGACACUCAGAGACGAAAGCUAGGGUAGCAAAUGGGAUUAGAUACCCCAGUAGUCCUAGCCGUAAACAAUGGAUACUAGAUGUUGAACAGAUCGACCUGUGCAGUGUCA